AUUGAACGCUGGCGGCAGGCCUAACACAUGCAAGUCGUACGAGUGGCGGACGGGUGAGGAAUGUCUGGGAAACUGACUGAUGGCGGGGGAUAACUACUGGAAAAGGUAGCUAAUACAGCAUACAAUCGGAUGUGCCCAGAUUGGAUUAUCUAGUAGGUGGGGUAAUGGCUCACCUAGGCGACGAGCCCUAAGUGGUCUGAGAGUAUUACCAUACAUAGUGGAGAUGCAACUCGGUCCAGACUCCUACGGGCGGCAGAAGUGGGGAAUAUGGCACUAUUGGCGCAAGCCUGAGUCAGCCAUGCCGAGUGUGUGAAGAAGUCCUUCGGGUUGUAAAGCACGUUCAGCGAGGAGGCGUUACUCGCAGAAUAAGCACCGGCUAACUCCGUGCCAGCCGCCGCGGUAAUAC
rnacentral:rRNA from 1 species